AUUAUAUAGAAUUUACAGGCCCCACCCAUAAUUAUUAAUUGAGGUGUGCGUUUUUUAGGAGACACAUAAGGUGUGAUUCACACCUCUGUGCACGUGUAUUAAUACUUGACUGGUAGCUAGCUAGCUAGCUAUUCAUCCCUGGGUUCUCAAGUAUCCAGUAACAUCCCUUUUAUCGACAACAGCUUUAGUAAACAAGUUGCUAAUCAACUUCCUAGAGAAUGGGACAUUGAUAUUGAUGGGAUCGGGAAAGAUAAGAGACCGAGUCAAGCUCAAGAAACUUCAAUAGAGCUCAUCACCAGACAAAAACUGACAUAUUUUGAAAGAAGGAAGACAGCACAGCCCUCGGUCUCAGAUCUUAAAUAAAUGUUCCUUCUUUGAAACUUCACGAAGUGGCCUAUUCAUGAACCGAGUUCAAGAGAAUCGUCAGUAUUGAAAAAAGAUGUGAGUGUCCAAUCGAUCAUUAAUGGAGAACUGGGACUCAUGGAUUAUUGCAUAUUCUAAGUUGGAGAUGGCGACAAGAAUUCAGACGAUCUUUGUGCCAGACCAGUACAGACUGUAUUUUCUGUGUGAUGUUGAACAAGAUCCAACGUGCGAGCUAAGUGUAUUCUUUGGACUCAACGAACAAAAUUGAACCCUUUGGCACAUGUAUAAUUAUAAUCUCAUUUUAGUGCUGCUAUGAUGUUUUGUUUCUUUGCUGCUAUACUUUUGUGGAUGUGUUUUAAGCUGUGAUCAA